AACGCGAAGAACCUUACCUACCCUUGACAUCCAACGAAUUCUGUAGAGAUACGGGAGUGCCGAAAGGAACGUUGAGACAGGUGCUGCAUGGCUGUCGUCAGCUCGUGUUGUGAGAUGUUGGGUUAAGUCCCGUAACGAGCGCAACCCUUAUCCUUAGUUGCCAACAUGUAAUGGUGGGGACUCUAAGGAGACUGCUGGUGAUGAACCGGAGGAAGGCGGGGACGACGUCAAGUCAUCAUGGCCUUUAUGGGUAGGGCUACACACGUGCUACAAUGGGCGGUACAGAGGGCAGCGAAGCCGCGAGGUGGAGCCAAUCCCAAAAAGCCGUUCGUAGUCCGGAUUGAAGUCUGCAACUCGACUUCAUGAAGUCGGAAUCGCUAGUAAUCGCGAAUCAGAAUGUCGCGGUGAAUACGUUCCCGGGCCUUGUACACACCGCUACACGU
rnacentral:rRNA from 1 species